ensembl:snoRNA U3 Small nucleolar RNA U3
AAGAUCAUACUUUCUGGGAUCAUUUCUAUAGUCUUUGACUUGAGAAAUAUCGUACGAAAGUGAUCGGUUACUCUAACCACGAUGAAGAGAACUCAUGUUCCCUUCUGAGCGCGAAGCGGGCAGUGAGUGAUGAUGCAUUUCAUCCGCUCAUUGUCAUUGAUGACCGUUCCAUGCUCUCUAGUGGAGCCUGGAGGUAGGGAACAUGAUCAGAGUGGU